rnacentral:lncRNA from 1 species
CCUCCAACCUUGGCCUCCCAAAGUGAUGGAAUUACAGGCACACCUCUGAUGAUUGCUGCAUGUAUUCUGCCCAGGGUUUUUGGCUGUGAUCACUGGGAGAGAUAGAAGGGACUGUAUUUGCUCCAUCUUACCCAGCUCUGCAAACCUGCUGGAGAGUUUAAUUGGCAUAUGACUUCUAUCCUCAAAGUCACAAGAUGGCUGCUGGAGUUCCAGUCAGGAUGUCUGUACAGAACAUCUGUCCAGUCCCUGGGAUGGUGAGGCUAUAACCACAAAGGAAUAAGAGAAGACGACUAGUUUUGUAAUGGGCACAGUGGAUUGAAGAGGGGGGCAGUGCUGAGUCAUUCACGUGGUGUGUGAGGGCUCCUGUUUGUAAAUCAGGGAUUCUUGCAGCCUGCUUUUUCAGGGACAUUGGCUGCUGUCUUCUGACCCACCCUGUGUGGCUUUGGCGUCUCCUGUGACCUCCCAGUAUGGGUCUUGGCCUCAUCCUGCCUCUUUGUCUUUCUGGCCCACCACCCACAGCUUGAAUCUCAGGCUCCAACAGUUGCCUGACCCCCAGAUUCUGAUGACAGCCUACCUACUUGUUCUUCAGGCCCUCACCAGACUCACUGCCCAGACACACCACACAGGAGAACAUGAAAGGCUUUGAAUGAUGCAUUGGCCCACGUGGACCACCUUCCAUUUCCCAAGACUUUUUGAAGGCAAUGAAUGAGAAGAAAGCAGAGAAAACAGUGGGCGUGAGGUCAGAUGACUCAGGCUUGAGUACUGAUCACAUCAAGGAUUGGACGCACUGCUCUUAGGAAGGCACAACUUCUACUACUUUCAGUCUUAUCAACUGUGAGAGUGUACCCUUGCUGUAGAUGCCACCCGCCCAGCAGUCCUCAUCAUCUUGGCCCAGGAUCACCUGAAACAGAUGAUCCUCCUUUUGAGCUACCAUCAGAAGGUCCACAGUACUAGCCCAGCGCUACAUCCCAAUGCCUACGCCAUUCAUCUCACCUCAUCUCAUCACGUAGACAUUUCAUCAUGUCACAUCAUCACAAGAAGGGAAUCUAUUCACAAAUAAGGUUUUGUGGAUUCAACAGCUUUACUGAAGAUAUGUAGAUUGUUGUUAGCGCUUCCUACCUUGCACAGCCUCUUGUCCCGUCACUGGCCCCAUGCAUCUUCCUCUGCUGCCUUCAAGAAGCUCCAGAUCCUGCCACAGACGUGCUCCACUCAGAGGACUGGAGUCCAAUCCCCUGACAGUGCUUUUCUCUUUGGGAAGCACCCCCUCCCCCACUGCCAUUAAACCUCUGGAAUUCUAUGGAAUAAAGUAAACAUUAACUUAUAACAUUUGUAUUUGUGUUAUAACCGUCACACUAAUAGCUAACACAUACAUUUAGAGCUUCCUUUGGAAUAGUGAAUAAAAAAUACAGUCAAAUGAUGACCUCAUUUGAAUUCCUAUGCUGGGCCGUUGAUGUAGUGUCUACUACAGAGAUCAUGCUGUGGGACUAUAUAAUAGGUGAUAUAAUUAGUAAUUA